rnacentral:rRNA from 8 species
UUGACCUCGGAUCAGGUAGGGAUACCCGCUGAACUUAAGCAUAUCAAUAAGCGGAGGAAAAGAAACCAACAGGGAUUGCCCCAGUAACGGCGAGUGAAGCGGCAAGAGCUCAAAUUUGAAAGCUGGCUCCUUCGGGGUCCGCAUUGUAAUUUGCAGAGGAUGCUUCGGGAGCGGUCCCCAUCUA